GAUGAACGCUGGCGGCGUGCCUAACACAUGCAAGUCGAGCGUGAACCCUGCGAAUGAAACUUCGGUCGAUUUUGCAGGGGGAAAGCGGCGGACGGGUGAGUAACGCGUAGGUAACCUGCCCCAUACUGAGGGAUAGCCUCGGGAAACCGGGAUUAAUACCUCAUAACACCGUAUAUUCGCAUGGAUGUGCGGUCAAAGAUUUAUCGGUAUGGGAUGGGCCUGCGUCUGAUUAGCUGGUUGGUGGGGUAACGGCCUACCAAGGCGACGAUCAGUAGCCGACCUGAGAGGGUGAUCGGCCACAUUGGAACUGAGACACGGUCCAAACUCCUACGGGAGGCAGCAGUGGGGAAUAUUGCACAAUGGGCGAAAGCCUGAUACAGCAACGCCGCGUGAGCGAAGAAGGCCUUUGGGUCGUAAAGCUCUGUCGGGUAGGAAGAUAAUGACGGUACUACCCGAGGAAGCCCCGGCUAACUACGUG
rnacentral:rRNA from 1 species